CCUACGGGUGGCUGCAGUGGGGAAUAUUGCACAAUGGGCGCAAGCCUGAUGCAGCCAUGCCGCGUGUGUGAAGAAGGCCUUCGGGUUGUAAAGCACUUUCAGCGGGGAGGAAGGCGUUAAGGUUAAUAACCUUGGCGAUUGACGUUACCCGCAGAAGAAGCACCGGCUAACUCCGUGCCAGCAGCCGCGGUAAUACGGAGGGUGCAAGCGUUAAUCGGAAUUACUGGGCGUAAAGCGCACGCAGGCGGUCUGUCAAGUCGGAUGUGAAAUCCCCGGGCUCAACCUGGGAACUGCAUUCGAAACGGGCAGGCUAGAGUCGUGUAGAGGGGGGUAGAAUUCCAGGUGUAGCGGUGAAAUGCGUAGAGAUCUGGAGGAAUACCGGUGGCGAAGGCGGCCCCCUGGACAAAGACUGACGCUCAGGUGCGAAAGCGUGGGGAGCAAACAGGAUUAGAUACCCGGGUAGUC
rnacentral:rRNA from 1 species